rfam:Hordeum vulgare subsp. vulgare, WGS project CAJW01000000 data, contig: morex_contig_39191
UAUGUACUUUCUCCGUUCAAAAAUACUUGUAUGAGGAACGAAUGUAUCUAGAUGUAUUUUAGUUCUAGAUAUAUUCAUUUAUAUUUAUUUUUGCCACAAGUAAUUCCAGACGGAGGGAGUACGUG